AGUCAGUUGUCCCCGAUGUCACCACUAAUGAGAGGUGGAGGCUGAAUUCAAAUUUAGUCUUUUUUCUGUGACUUGGCUCCCUUGACCCUUUCCAAGGAUGCCUAUGCUUUAACUGAUGGUUUGGUUGGAACAGAAUCAUCAAAGAAGAGGAAGAAAAUGCAAGAAAGAACUUAAGGAGCCAGUGGAUGGGAGAAAAGGACAAGAGACCCCUAGAAAGAUGUGAAAGGAGAACAGAGUCACUGAUCUGUGUUCCAGAGGGUCAACUCCUGAACUUCACCCUGGGUUUCCCUGCUUAGGAAGGGCGGACUCUCAACGAGAAAGACAGUGACAUUAAGGGAAGCAGAUUACUGUUCCAGUGCAAAGGGCUGCCCUCACAACAGAUGAAGUCAAAAUCUCAAGACUACGUCUCAUUGGUAUGACACAAGUCACAUGUCUGUUCCCAAACCUCUCACAGUGCUUGGGAGAAAAAUAUGCUGAUUAGCGAGGUCUUAGGGGAAUCUUUCUC
ensembl:lncRNA